UUAAUUAAUUAAUUAUACAUGUUAUUAUAUGCAUGGUUGCAGAAGUUUUCAGUAGCUUCAAGGACGAGGAAGGAAAUUUCAGGGCAAGCCUUUGUGAUGAUCUGAAAGGACUUGUAUAUUUAUACGAAGCUUCAUACCUUUCAGUUCCGGGUGAGACUAUUUUGGAAGAGGCAAGAGAUUUUGCAUCCAAAAAUAUCCUGAAAUAUCUCAAUAAUAUCAGGGAUAGUUAUGAGCAAGAACAGAUAAUAAGUGGAGAGGAGCAUGUACAGGUGAUGUUGGCCAGACAUGCGAUGGAGCUCCCAUUGCGUUGGAGAAUGCAAAGGGCAGACUGCAGGUGGUUCAUUGAUGUUUAUGAGAGUAGCCCUUCCAUGAACCCUACUCUUCUUCAUUUUGCAAAAUUGGAUUUUAACAUGGUUCAAGCUAUUCACCAGCAGGAUUUGAAGCAUGCUUUCAGGUGAGAUAUAUAUACAUAUAUAUAUAAUUUUUUUCAAUUAAUCAAAUAUAUAAUUAAUUUAAUUACUGUAUGUAUAGUUGGUGGAAGAAGACAGGACUUGGUGAAAAGCUGGGUUUUGUCAGAGGCAGGCCAAUGGAGGUUUUUUUAUGGGCUGUUGGGGGGUUGUAUGAGCCCCAAUAUGCAUAUUUCAGGAGAAUAUUAACUCGAGUUGGUGCACUUGUAACCGUAGUUGAUGACAUUUAUGAUGUCUAUGGUACCUUCGAUGAGUUGCAACUAUUUUCAGAUGCUGUCGAAAGGUAAUUUAUUUAUUUAUUUUCAAAUAAUGAAAAAAAAAAUAUAUAAUCUGCCCUUUUUUAAUUAAUUUUGAUUAAUUUAAAUUUAGAUGGGAUAUCGACGCGAUGGAUCAACUUCCCCAGUAUAUGAAAAUAUGUUUCUUAACUUUGUAUAACUCCAUAAAUGAAAUAGUUCAAGAACUUCUAGUGAAUUAUGGACUCUCUGUCCUUCCUUAUCUAAAGAGAGAGGUAAAGUAAUUAAUUAAUUCGAUUUUGUUUUAUUUUAUUUUAAUAAUAUAUUAAUUUUAUUUGGACUUUCCAGUGGACAAAUUUAUGUAAAUCUUAUUUAUUGGAGGCCAAGUGGUAUCAUGAAUUAGUUCAUGCAUAUUUUACUGUCACUGGUCAAAUAACAGAGGAGGUUUCAAAAUACUUAGAAGAAUACCCAGAUAUAAUUAGAUAUUCAGCUUUGAUCUCCAGACUUGUAGAUGAUUUAGGAACAUCAUCGGUAUGUUUAUAUAUAUGUAUAUGAUUAUUUUUUCUAAUCAUCUAAUUUCGUUAAGAAAUUAUUAAUUCACUUUUGAUGAACUCAGCAUGAACAAAAGAGAGGCGAUAAUUCAAAAUCAAUCCAAUGUUAUAUGCAUGAAACUGGAAGUUCAGAAAAAGAAGCUCGCAAGUACAUACAUUAUUUGAUUGGUGAAACAUGGAAGAAAAUUAAUGAAGAACAAAUUCGAAAUAAUCAUUUCUCUCAAACUUUGAUUAAGCUGGGGAUAAACCUAGCGAGGAUAUCUCAAUUCGUGUAUCAAUAUGGAGAUGGGUUUGGUGCUCAAAAUGUGGAAACAAAAAAUAAUAUUUCAUUGUUACUUGUCCAACCAAUUUGUCUUUAAUUUAUUACUAAUGAAUGUACCAAUUUCUCUUUAUUUUUACCUCAAUACAUAUAAAAUAAUUUGAAAACAUCUCAAAAAUAUUAUUAUAUAAAUAUAUUUGUUGUGCAGUAACCAAUAAUGGAUUUUUGAAUGCUAGCCUAUCUAUUAGUAGCAUUCUUCUUUUAUCCUUUUCUAAUAAUUUUUUCUCCUCAGCAAUUCAUAUUGAUAGAGGCCAAAUGCCAAACUAUGAUUAUUUGGAAUUUUCCUUAUCUAUCCCAUCAAUUAUAAUGGAAUGAAGGAUAUGUUUGCUGAAUUAGGAAGCAUUUUAAUUGAAGAAGUCAGAUCAAAACGAUUUUUGAUACCCUAAAUCUUUUGAUUUGACUUUCAUUUUGAAUUGCGUUAGGUCUUUCACUAUUAUAUAAAUCUUAAUACAAAUACUGAGUCCAAAUUAGAAUCAAUAAAAUCACUAUGUUUUGAUUUUUACUUUAUUGAUAAAAUAUUAACUAAUAAGUGGUUGAUUAACAUGGCAAGCAAUGUAAAUUCCCGUAAAGAUGAGAAUACAAUGAGUUCGAUUCUUAGAAAAAAUGCACUUACUAAAAGGGCCGAAAACUUUUAUACUCUAUAGCUCGAGGAGAUUACACCUCAUAGUUAAUAUAUUAAUACAUCAUUAUAAUAUAUAUAUUUUUUGUUUAAAGAAUCUGUAAAUUCGUGUAUACUUUUCACAUUGACAGGAUAUAACAGUAAUUAAACACGUUAAAAAUGACUAUAUCAUCUACAAAAAUUGCACAAGUUAAUAUAAUCAUGCAAAUCAUAUCAACUAAGAAACACGUUUAACAUUUUUAGACUUUACUUCAUGUACGUAACUAGAUAUGAUAUCUGUCAUUCAUCCAAGCUUAAUGACUUCUUUGAUAUUUUAAUGCGUAAAUUAUUUUAGCUUUUUUUUUCUUUUUUGCCCUUCGGGCCUAAUGAAUUGUCUUUUAGUUAUUAUUGGACGACCACCAAGAUGUUUUCUUUUCGUAAUCUAACUGUGAUUUGGCUUACUGAUUUCUUUCUCUGAUAAGAAAAGAAGACAAAAAAAACUGUCUUUUUCCGAUGGCUUCAGCAUUUCCGAUGACUAAUCUUUAUCUGCGACGGAUUGCAAUAAUUGGCAGUCCGCUCAGUUUAUCAGGCUGCGUUAAUGGUGGUGUUCGAUUUUGUAUUUCUGGAAAAACAGUAGCUGCAAGAAGAUCUGCCAACUAUCCCCCUUCAAAAUGGGACCAUUCUUUUGUUGAAUCCUUGACAAGUGAAUUUGUAGUAUGUAUAUAUGUAUUUCCUUUUCUGUAUCAAUAAUUGCUAAAUUUCAUGCAUAUUUUUAACAAUUAUAUAUAUGCAGGGAGAGCCUUACAGCAUGAGAAUCGAGAAGAUGAAGGAAGAGGUGAAGAUGAUGAUCGAGGAAGUUGCAAAUCCUUUGGAGAUAAUUGAUACGGUGCAAAGACUCGGAGUAGCUCACCAUUUUGAGGAUGAAAUACAAAAAGCGCUAAAGUGCAUAUACAGUAAUAACAAUAAAUGUACAAUUAUGAAACAAUCAGAUGAUUUGUGCGCCACUGCUCUUGAAUUUAGACUCCUAAGACAGCAAGGUUACAACGCACCUCAAGGUGAGAGCAUCAUCAUCCAUGCAUGGUUGAUAUUAGUCAAAUUAAACGACCAAAUUAAUUAAUUAAUUAUACAUGUUAUUAUAUGCAUGGUUGCAGAAGUUUUCAGUAGCUUCAAGGACGAGGAAGGAAAUUUCAGGGCAAGCCUUUGUGAUGAUCUGAAAGGACUUGUAUAUUUAUACGAAGCUUCAUACCUUUCAGUUCCGGGUGAGACUAUUUUGGAAGAGGCAAGAGAUUUUGCAUCCAAAAAUAUCCUGAAAUAUCUCAAUAAUAUCAGGGAUAGUUAUGAGCAAGAACAGAUAAUAAGUGGAGAGGAGCAUGUACAGGUGAUGUUGGCCAGACAUGCGAUGGAGCUCCCAUUGCGUUGGAGAAUGCAAAGAGCAGAGUGCAGGUGGUUCAUUGAUGUUUAUGAGAGUAGCCCUUCCAUGAACCCUACUCUUCUUCAUUUUGCAAAAUUGGAUUUUAACAUGGUU
rnacentral:lncRNA from 1 species